GGAGAGGUGGCCGAGUGGUUUAAGGCAGCGGUCUUGAAAACCGCCGAUGAGAAAUCAUCCGAGAGUUCGAAUCUCUCUCUCUCCG
rfam:Triticum urartu cultivar G1812 contig881640, whole genome shotgun sequence.